CCGAAACCCGGUGAUCUAGCCAUGGGCAGGUUGAAGGUUGGGUAACACUAACUGGAGGACCGAACCGACUAAUGUUGAAAAAUUAGCGGAUGACUUGUGGCUGGGGGUGAAAGGCCAAUCAAACCGGGAGAUAGCUGGUUCUCCCCGAAAGCUAUUUAGGUAGCGCCUCGUGAAUUCAUCUCCGGGGGUAGAGCACUGUUUCGGCAAGGGGGUCAUCCCGACUUACCAACCCGAUGCAAACUGCGAAUACCGGAGAAUGUUAUCACGGGAGACACACGGCGGGUGCUAACGUCCGUCGUGAAGAGGGAAACAACCCAGACCGCCAGCUAAGGUCCCAAAGUCAUGGUUAAGUGGGAAACGAUGUGGGAAGGCCCAGACAGCCAGGAUGUUGGCUUAGAAGCAGCCAUCAUUUAAAGAAAGCGUAAUAGCUCACUGGUCGAGUCGGCCUGCGCGGAAGAUGUAACGGGGCUAAACCAUGCACCGAAGCUGCGGCAGCGACACUAUGUGUUGUUGGGUAGGGGAGCGUUCUGUAAGCCUGUGAAGGUGGCCUGUGAGGG
rnacentral:rRNA from 1 species